rnacentral:rRNA from 1 species
GACGAACGCUGGCGGCGUGCUUAACACAUGCAAGUCGAACGGAAAGGCCCUGCUUUUGUGGGGUGCUCGAGUGGCGAACGGGUGAGUAACACGUGAGUAACCUGCCCUUGACUUUGGGAUAACUUCAGGAAACUGGGGCUAAUACCGGAUAGGAGCUCCUGCUGCAUGGUGGGGGUUGAAAAGUUUCGGCGGUUGGGGAUGGACUCGCGGCUUAUCAGCUUGUUGGUGGGGUAGUGGCUUACCAAGGCUUUGACGGGUAGCCGGCCUGAGAGGGUGACCGGCCACAUUGGGACUGAGAUACGGCCCAGACUCCUACGGGAGGCAGCAGUGGGGAAUAUUGCACAAUGGGCGGAAGCCUGAUGCAGCAACGCCGCGUGCGGGAUGACGGCCUUCGGGUUGUAAACCGCUUUCGCCUGUGACGAAGCGUGAGUGACGGUAAUGGGUAAAGAAGCACCGGCUAACUACGUGCCAGCAGCCGCGGUGAUACGUAGGGUGCGAGCGUUGUCCGGAUUUAUUGGGCGUAAAGGGCUCGUAGGUGGUUGAUCGCGUCGGAAGUGUAAUCUUGGGGCUUAACCCUGAGCGUGCUUUCGAUACGGGUUGACUUGAGGAAGGUAGGGGAGAAUGGAAUUCCUGGUGGAGCGGUGGAAUGCGCAGAUAUCAGGAGGAACACCAGUGGCGAAGGCGGUUCUCUGGGCCUUUCCUGACGCUGAGGAGCGAAAGCGUGGGGAGCGAACAGGCUUAGAUACCCUGGUAGUCCACGCUGUAAACGGUGGGUACUAGGUGUGGGGUCCAUUCCACGGGUUCCGUGCCGUAGCUAACGCUUUAAGUACCCCGCCUGGGGAGUACGGCCGCAAGGCUAAAACUCAAAGGAAUUGACGGGGCCCCGCACAAGCGGCGGAGCAUGCGGAUUAAUUCGAUGCAACGCGUAGAACCUUACCUGGGUUUGACAUGGAUCGGGAGUGCUCAGAGAUGGGUGUGCCUCUUUUGGGGUCGGUUCACAGGUGGUGCAUGCCUGUCGUCAGCUCGUGUCGUGAGAUGUUGGGUUAAGUCCCGCAACGAGCGCAACCCUUGUUCACUGUUGCCAGCACGUUAUGGUGGGGACUCAGUGGAGACCGCCGGGGUCAACUCGGAGGAAGGUGGGGAUGACGUCAAGUCAUCAUGCCCCUUAUGUCCAGGGCUUCACGCAUGCUACAAUGGCUGGUACAGAGAGUGGCGAGCCUGUGAGGGUGAGCGAAUCUCGGAAAGCCGGUCUCAGUUCGGAUUGGGGUCUGCAACUCGACCUCAUGAAGUCGGAGUCGCUAGUAAUCGCAGAUCAGCAACGCUGCGGUGAAUACGUUCCCGGGGCU